rnacentral:rRNA from 1 species
CCUACGGGUGGCAGCAGUGAGGAAUAUUGGUCAAUGGACGAGAGUCUGAACCAGCCAAGUAGCGUGAAGGAUGACUGCCCUAUGGGUUGUAAACUUCUUUUAUAUGGGAAUAAAAUGUUCCACGUGUGGGAUUUUGUAUGUACCAUAUGAAUAAGGAUCGGCUAACUCCGUGCCAGCAGCCGCGGUAAUACGGAGGAUCCGAGCGUUAUCCGGAUUUAUUGGGUUUAAAGGGAGCGUAGGUGGAUUGUUAAGUCAGUUGUGAAAGUUUGCGGCUCAACCGUAAAAUUGCAGUUGAAACUGGCAGUCUUGAGUACAGUAGAGGUGGGCGGAAUUCGUGGUGUAGCGGUGAAAUGCUUAGAUAUCACGAAGAACUCCGAUUGCGAAGGCAGCUCGCUGGCCUGCGACUGACGCUGAGGCACGAAAGUGUGGGGAUCAAACAGGAUUAGAUACCCUUGUAGUC